CCUACGGGCGGGCAGCAGUGGGGAAUAUUGGACAAUGGGGGGAACCCUGAUCCAGCCAUGCCGCGUGUGUGAAGAAGGCCCUCGGGUUGUAAAGCACUUUCAGUGAGGAAGAACGCCUGGUGGUUAAUACCCAUCAGGAAAGACAUCACUCACAGAAGAAGCACCGGCUAACUCCGUGCCAGCAGCCGCGGUAAUACGGAGGGUGCGAGCGUUAAUCGGAAUUACUGGGCGUAAAGCGCGCGUAGGUGGCUUGAUAAGCCGGUUGUGAAAGCCCCGGGCUCAACCUGGGAACGGCAUCCGGAACUGUCAAGCUAGAGUGCAGGAGAGGAAGGUAGAAUUCCCGGUGUAGCGGUGAAAUGCGUAGAGAUCGGGAGGAAUACCAGUGGCGAAGGCGGCCUUCUGGACUGACACUGACACUGAGGUGCGAAAGCGUGGGUAGCAAACAGGAUUAGAUACCCGGGUAGUC
rnacentral:rRNA from 1 species